GUUUAUAUAUAAAGUUUGUGAAUAAUUAAUGAUAGGUAAUAGUGAAAUGUUUAACUCUUGAGUCAGUGUUACAUUAUUAACACUUUUGAAAGUGUUAAUUUAACUCGGGCCAGUGUAAUGAUUUAAAGUAAUGAUUUCUAGAUGAAGGACGGGUCACACAGGACUAAAUUCAACACUUGCAUUAAUGGGGAAGCAUGAAAAUGGUCUGUGUGAUGAAUGUGAUGUUUCUGAAACAGUAGAGCACAUAAUCUUUAAAUGUAGUAAAUAUUAUAUAAAUAUAGAAAUAUAAAGAACAGGCCAGAGAGUGUCGGGGAGCUUUGAGUCAGAUGUUUAAGGUGGUUUUAACAUUUUUAGAGCUUACAGGACUAGACCCCAGAUUUAGUGUUUGAGAUGAGGAUCAUGAUGCUUCUGUUCAUCUCGGAGGCUGAGGAGCUCAGUGUUGAAGCUGGAGGAGCUGAACACACAGCACCAGCUGAAGCUUGGCUCUGAACCUCUGCUGAGGGGGCAUUACACAUGAGCCCUGGGUACACCUCCUUUCUUUCUUUCUCUUUGUGAUAUCAACACAGAUUUAUCACCCAUGUGCGCAAGAUAUCCAGUAGGUGGCGGUAAUACUCCUGAGGAGUGAACGACCAUUGAACAGAAAGAAGAAGAAGAAGAAGAAGAAGAAGAAGAAGAGUGUUGAAAUCGAAAGUAAACUCGAGAGUAAACGCGCAUUUUGAAGACUUAAAAUCCUUCACUUCAGAUAUCAGAGUUCACGCAGACCUCAAAUCAGUUCUUCAUCAUGGAGAUCAGUGAUCUCCAGAUCCCAGCUGUGUGUCUCUGAAGAGUGACGCAUCCAUGAUGAAGCCUCCUAACCUCAGUGCUGAACCAGUGACCUCUGACCCCAGAGUCAGCAGGAGGAAGAGGAAGAUAUCUUCAUCUCCAGAUCCCAGCUGUGUGUCUCUGAAGAGUGACGCAUCCAUGAUGAAGCCUCCUGAAUUCAGUGCUGAACCAGUGACCUCUGACCCCAGGUGAGACACUGUCUCGUACUGGAGACAAUAGACUGACUCAUACAACAUCAUACAUCAUCUGAACUAAUUGUAGUGCUGCUUGAUUAAUCGAAUGUGAUUGUCAUGCUCAUCUUGUCAGUAAAGCGGUUCUGUGAUUAGUAGUAAAUCUCCAUCAGGUGCUUUCAGAUGGAGCAGCAUUUACUACACAGAGCCGUAGUUCACUGACGGACUACACAAUAUCUCAUUCAUAAUCACAGAUGAUAUAAUCACACGAUUAUGAGAUCGAAGAAAUUGUUCGUGAUUAUGAAAGCUGUUUGUGUAGCUUUUCAAUAAACUACAACUCUGUGUAGGAAAUGAUGCUCCA
ensembl:lncRNA